CAUGAAGCAACUUUUCUACAGAUAUAUAAAUAUGUCUAACGAGAACAUUCUGAAAAAUCUUAUUCCAUUAUACAAGGAGACCACUGGCCACACACAGGUUCCUGGUGAAUGAGGGAAGGACCGCAGAUGGAAGUUAUAAACCUGAGGUUGGACGGUGGAUGCAGGAGCAAGGCAAUGGGAAGGAAGUUUUAUGACCCUUUGGCCUAGAGCUCACCUGGACAUUGAGACAGAUCACCCAAGUCAAGAAGGAGAAUGAAAAUAGAAGGGCAAACUCGCUGUAAAGAAUGGAUUACUCAAAUGUUGAACCAAAGCCGGGGGAAAGAACAUGGAAAGCAGUGGAGAGGCACCAGGCAGGUCGCUUUCUCUUUCUGGUCCUCAACCACAGCACUGCCGUCUUCAGAACAGUAACUAUUACUUGUCCAUACCAGGCAUCUUCAAUACUCCUCAACUCAUAUCAAGAAUUCUGCCCAGUCUAAACAGACCUCCAUCCUACAAACACUGAAACCCAAACCCAAAACCUUACAUAUAUCCACCUCUCACUUAUCCCUUCUGAGACAUUAUGAAAACAAAGUGGCAGUUUCCCUUACUGGAAUAAGUAUUAAAUUUUGCUUGGUCAAUAGAUUAUUCAGACAAUCUUUUUAAGGUAGAUAAGAAAACUGAGGGUCAGAUUAGUGAGGUGUUCAAUGUUACAGAGAAGCAGAGCCUGAUCCCAGCCAGGGGGGAUUUAACACCAAGUCCAGUAUCCUACAUUAGAUCUUCAGGGGCCCUGAAGAUCGCCUCCUCCUAGCUCCCAUGGAAUAGACAAGAGAGCUGAGAAUUGAAAUUAAUUGUCUGUUUACACAGCCAGGCCUCCAGAAACCUUAAGUCAAGGGGUUGCUUUAUUUUUUCCCAAAUACUUGUUAUUUUUUGGAAAGUUAUCUCAAGACGCUAAUAUUUCAUAAAAACUUCCUAUUCUUAUAUCACUCUGGAUUUAAGGUUUUUGUGAUUUAUCUCUAUCUGCACACAAAUUAGGACGAAUGCCAACCUGUGAUAUUUGCCGGAAUGAUCCAGCUCAGGUCUCUUUUUCAAGCCUCCCUAUACUGCUGUUACUUACCUCCCUGGCGAGGAACCUCUUGGAUAAGACUAAAGACAAUAAUUCUAUGAAAUUAAAAACACCUAGAAAGUUAAGAGGAAUAGAACACUAAAACGGCAGUCUCUUCCAGAUUUCUUUUAUUUAUAUCAAGAUAGACCCAUCUAUUAAAAGACAGAAUCUGCAUCCUCUUUGUCUUAAAAGCCCUUUCAUUUUUUAAAAGCCUUCUUUCAAAAUGCAAAUGGUCCUGGGAGACCCCACUGCUAAGUUAUCCAGGAACCUUGGCAGAGUUUAAUCGACAGCAAGGUUGGAGCCUAGGAGAGCGGAGUCCCUAGAGGCAGUAAAAAGACACUGAAAAAGUGGUGGAGAGCUUUUUCUCCUUCCCAAUUUUGUGGAAGGUUAUUCGAAUCAAUUGUCCUGAGGUUACUGCAAAUGUUUUCCUUUUUUUUUUUUUUAAAAAAAAUUCUUUUUCUCCCUCUUUUUUUCCUUUUAGCUGUUAUUGUUCCUUGAAAAACAGUAUAAAACAAUACAAACACUCAUUGACAUGGACCCAAUCUAUUCUUGACUUUUUAACUGAUGGAUCACAUUAUAAUGCAGGUAUGGUAUCAUUGCCAUUACUAUUACUACGAUUAGUGGUGAAAAGAUAAGUAUUCCCAAAAUAUCAGUUUGAUUUUUUGCACUUGCCCUUAAUUCAUGCAGAAACUAGCAUAGAAGCAAUGAAGAAACCAUUCGCACAGAAGAAAAAACAAAAUGGCUUUCUAAGAUCAAAUUUGUAUUUUAAAAAAUUCUAAGGUUUUUUAUUUUUUCAAAUUAUGGCUUUUUAUUUCCUGAGUUUCAAAAGGUGAUAUAGCUCAGGUAGUUUUAAGGUGCUGCCUCUCAUUCUGUAGUAUGCUGGGCUGCAGUAAAAUAUUAUUUAUUGGCUGUGGGUAUCCCCUAAACUACACCAUUGUUAGGCAAGUUAGAGGUGUCUAUAUUCCCUGAUAGUCUUAAAAAUAUUGCUCAUGUACAUUAUAUAAUUGAAAAAACAAAAACACUUCUGUAUAUUUAAAAAUCAGCAACUAUAUCCCUCUUGCACCACGUUAAAUAGAAGAAUGUAAUUUCUAGCAUUAUUGUGUUUGUGCUUGAAAAUAAUUUUAAGAAAAUAUUGGAGACUCUUCGCCAUCCAAUCUAUUCAAUUUUAUGACAUUGGGCACUUAUUAAAUCAGUUUUCAUUGUUGAACCAAUCAGCUGAAUCUGUCAGAAAAAGUCUGGCUUUAUUUUUCAAUUCAAAUAACAUGUAACCACAUGCCCUUGUGACAAUCAUGUUAUUUCUAAGGCCUAAUCUAAGGUGGAUAGCUUUGGGAAGGAAGUUAUCCAUAAAACUGUCACCUGGAUAAAUAAUAAGGCACGGCCCCAUGGGACCCUCUUUUUGGAGAAAUCCAGGUGGGAACGGUCCUUUUGCUUGGCAACCCAGAGGAUUUUACAUCCCAGAUUAAUACACGCCAUAGUUUCCGGAUGAGUGAGAGUUUCACCUUUCUUUUGUAAACUGAGAGAGGGGUAAAUAAGGACAGGAGGGUGAAAAAGGUAAAGUGAUAGAUCAGUUUUAAGGAAGAGUUCCUAGGGAAGUGAGGUCUGGAAAUCUCUUCCUUGCCAGUAUCUGUUUCUGCAUCUGCCUUGGAAAGUCUCUGGGAACCCAUUCACACAGAGGGCCCAUUCACACUGCAAGGCAGUGGCUCUGGACAGGUGAGUAAGGUCCCUGUAGUUCCUGACUUGGCAGGCAGAUACUCGAUGCAGACUGAGAAUUAUGAUGUCCUUGUAGGUAGUUUCUGGCUUGAGGGUGAAUUUCUCUUUUUAGUGAGUGGAUCAGCCUUGCUGUAGGACCCUACCAUGAACCUGUCUGAUGUAGGUGCAGCUGGAAUCAUGAUCCUGAUGUAACAUGUGUGGUUCAAGGCCAGCCUCACUGCAUGAUCUGAUGGUAAUACCAGGAUGGAGUUACCAGCCAGUCGGGAGUAAGCCUAAGUUGGGGCGCAGGUUGUCUAUUUCAAUGAGACCUUGUCUGUUUAUCUCAUCACAUUUUGUGGUGAUAAUAUACAAGCCCUAGAAAUGCUUAUUUUCAUCCUAUGACAGCUACUCCAACACAUACUUAACUCUAUGCAUGAACGUCAGCCAAUAUUGAGAGAAAUACUGUCUUGAUGAGUUAGGAAAUUUUUUUUGCACACAAAUUUUAGGUAGUAUUAUAAAGUAAGAAUAGUUUUAAAGAUCAUAUAUACUAAGCUUUAUUUUCUCACACAGUCUUCCAAGUUAUAGUAAUAUGCAUUCUGGAGAGAAUGCAUUAAUGUCUAUUCCUAGUAAUAAAUCUAGUAGAAGGGAGCUAGAACUCCUUAUCACUCACCGCAGGUUUGCAGGGGGCUUCCUGGCAUGAAUCUGUCCACUCGCCUUGCGAGCGAUCCUACCUCCAGCUCCCAAUCUUGAGUUGUGUCAUCUACAUAUGUCUAUGUAAUAUAUGUACCAAUAAAUGAUAUUCUAAAUGCCUAUGUGUUUUUAUACUCAUCAUGUUACUCCAUAAUAUAACAUAUAGUCUUAUAAAACACUCAAGUCGGUUGCUUAGUUUUCCUCCUUGAUACUUCAUUUCAGCGCAUCUUCUAGAAAGUAGCAUUAAAAGCAUAUGUUUUCAUAGGCAUUCUAAGAUUGGUAUACUUUUUAUU
rnacentral:lncRNA from 10 species